AGGUAAAAGGCAGAGGGCCCCUCUGUGGCCAAGGAGCAGCGAGCAAGGGGCUAAGGGGAGGGGGGCCCAGUGCCAGCCGUUUAAAAAUGCCCCGUGGCGGUAAGGGGUGCCAGAGGCCCGGUCAAGUUAGUUGAGAAGCAGUGACGCCCCCAACCGUCCCCUAAAUGGGCUGCCCCCCGUGUCCGGGCCACAAGGAGCCACACCUGGACCAGACCCCAGGAGAGGCAAGGGCACUGGCCGGUGGGAGCCACUCUUGCAACGCUGACAUUGGACGAGCAAGCACCCCAGAGGGGGCCUCCUGAGGACCAGAGAGGAGGGCAGGCGGCAGAGGCCCUGAAAACAGAGCUCCUCCCCGGAGCUUCCCAAGAAGACAGAGGCUCCCCCGGGCUGGGCUUGGCGACAUUUCCUGAAGACAGUAGGGAGCAGUGAGGGGAAAUUGGCCCGUUUCUGGGAGCAACGCCGCAGACUGCCAACAGCCGGCACCAGGUAAGAAUCCGCCCGCUAUGAGUCUAAGGCCACCUGCUCAAGUGUCUCCUUGGACACAGGGGAAAGGGAGCCACAGAGGGGCAGCACAUGGGAGAAGCGACCACACCGGUUGGAACAGAACUCAGGUCUCCCAAAUGGCCCGCUGUCUCCUGACUGGGGACCAAGAGUAAGAAGGAGCCUCUGGUGGGGUAAAGUGGAAUAGGAGGGCUGUCGACCUCCUUCUCAUCUGAAGGAGACCAGGGGUCAGGGCCAGCACUGUCGGCCUGCUGGACAAGUAAGAAAGACUCAAGGGAAGAGUUCUUGGGCAAGAGGACACGCUUCCUGCAUCUCUGCCCCUCCUCCCAGCCCACCACCUCCUCCUCCAGGAAGUCCUCCCAGCUCUUCCCCUGGGGCGGGAACCUCUUUGUCCUCUAAGACCUUGGCAGUGCUUUCUUAUGCUCUCCCUGGUGCCACUUGGAUCUGUGCCCUAUUCACCUUGCCAGGGACAUCCUUCUUCCAUUUCAGCCUGACUGCACUCCCCCAGGGCAAGGACAUCAGUCCCACCUCCCCUCGGCACAUAGAAGUCACCCUAGGCUUGCUGAAUGGUGAGGUGAAAUGGUGAGACCCUGUCUCAAACCCAAAGGAUUGCUAAAUUGGCCAGGGGAGGAGACAUUCGGCAUAGAGGUUAAAGAUGAGGGAGCCGGGGUUGGCUGUUCUGAGUUAGGAACCCAGCUCAGCUCCUAACUCCGUGGCCUCGGAAAAUUCCCUUCUCAUAGAGCCUUGGGGAUACGAGGGGAUUAGCACAAUUAAAACAGUCAACAAAUGACUGCUCUUAUUACAGUCGGCGUCACUGUGAUUUUCCUAGCUACAAGGAACAGAAGUACGCAGCCUAUAGCCAGAGGAGAAGCAAACAGCUUCCCCCAAAGGCUGCUCAUGGAGCCCUGUCCCUGCAUCACUUUCUCCCACGGGAACAUGGGCCUGCCUCCCAUCUACUGCCUGUUUCCAUAAGCAGGAGGGGGGCUCUCUCGGCCACAAUAUUCGGAGCCUAAUGGGACGUGCGGAAACAGCCCUCGACUCCCCUGGUUCGAGCCAGGCUGUGCCCACAGAACCAUCUCCUCCCCGUCCUGGUCCCCCGCGUGGAGGUCACAACAUACCCCUGCCGGCCUCACCAGCUGUCCUGAAGGUCCAGCGUCACGGGGCGCAGUUCCCCGAGCUGCAGUCACGCAGACGCCCCCUUUCGUAUUUUUGCCACAUCUGCAAACCGUCAUAAUAGUUUUACAUUUAACACGAGUCACUGGCAAUAGGCACGUACAAUUGCUACCGUUCAUGAGAAACUCUAACACUGCUCGUGACGAGGAGACAAAGGUAAGAAAAAGCAGAGCGAGCCCCAGGCGGUGUGAUUACCGUCCCCCUGGUACUGGCUUGCAAGGGCCUGGGCCUGAGGCCUGAGACCCGAGGGGAAGACGCAGGGACGCCAAAGGUGGGCAGCUGAAGGCUUCAGAAAGAGUUGUGCAGCAAGGGACGCGGGAGGCUGGCUUUAUCACCUUGGUUCCCGGGGCCCUGGAAAGUUCACUUUGUCGGGACAGCUCCCGGCCCCCAGCUUCUUACUGAAAGCUUCAGGCUGUCAGGCCCAGCACGUUCUCUCGCAGGGCUGGUGGGAGAGUGGCGUGGACAGGCUGUGGGCUGCCCAGGACCCCGAAGGUGGGUUGUUGGAAUCAUUCCCCAGCUAAAUGCAGUUUGGAAAGAGUUCCUACAGGAGAAUUCCAUAUUAGAGAAAGGCAUUUCUUUGGCUGGGAAUACCUCAGGAUGGGGCUGUCCCUCUCAGGAGGCCGUGGGGACUGAGCUGCUCCAAGUGGCAAACCAGAGACAGAGAGACUCUUUUGAUCCGGGCCAAAUUUCAGAUUUCUGAUAGAGGCACAGGAGAUACUUUUUUUUUCUUUUUUGUAAGGAAGUGUGUGGUUUUUUGCUCUCUCCUCAGGAGAGGAUACCCACCGCCUCCUCUCUUAAGCCUUCAGAUAUCUCUGAAAGUGUACGUCAUGCACCACAUGUCGCCACAUAUCGAGGCCACCACAGUAGACAUCCAGCAACGCAGGAAGGUCCUCUGGGGGUUCCCCGAGAACUUGGCGGGGCAGGAGGGACCGAGGGAGCUCUGCCUGCUCACUCAGAGGUUCCCACCCAAGCCCGCUCUCAACAGAAAAACAAUUUAUCUCCGUGGCCAUUCAUUCAUCCACCAAAUGGCAUUCCCUGGGGCCCAGUAUCACGUACAAAGACCGCAGCAAGGCCCAAGGACACCCCUAAACCCACAAAUGUGGGCACUCUCCCCAGGGAACUGGAUACUAGCCCAGUCAGGCCCAGGUGCCAUUUGCAGCCUGACCCCGGAAAGAAACAGAUUGAGGAAAACAAUUCAGCCAUUCAUCCAAUGCUUAAUGAGCGUCUACACUGGGGAACCUACCUUCAGUGGUGAGCCCAGCCAGCCGGGUCCCUUCCCUCACAGGUGGUCCACACAGCCCACAAGUGGAGGAGAAUUGCACACCACGUGUGACACAGGAUUAGAAAGUGGACACAGCAUGUGUGAGGACGUUGACCAGGGCGUCCUGAUGUCUGAGGCAGUGGAGGAGGGCUUCCCAGAAAAAGCAGCCUUUUGAGUAGGCAUGGAGCACUGGGAGAGGAGUCAGCAGGGGGCGUGAGGGGGAGCACCCCCUAAGAGUCCAGAGGUGGUGGGCACCGGAGAAGAGGAAGAGGUCCUCGUGAUCUUCGGUGAGGGUUUGGGAAUUUAGCCGGAAGGAGGGUGAGCGCUUUCAGGCUCGUAAGCGUGGAGGCGAUAGGAGCAUUCCGGAAGGAUGUCUGAGAAGGAUGGCUGGGGAGUCGGGAGGAGCCGGAGCAGGAAGUCCACACAAGUACCCUGAAGGUGCCGUCUGGCUGGAAUGAGCAGCGGGUAAAGGUGGGGAUGGGGCCACCGUAUCGGGUGAGUCCAGACUGCUCUGCAAAGACAGAAGCGGCCUGCCCAGAGCAGGGCUGGUGGGAGAUGCAAGGGGCUAACGGAGAAGAGGUUUCUCUUGGGGGUGAGGACGUGGUCUAAAAUUAAUUGCGACAGUGGUGGCACAACUUUGUGAACAUAUUAAAAACCAUUUCGUCGUACGUUUAAAUUGGGGGGCGGGGGCGUGUGGAUUACAUCUCGACAAAGCUGGUUUAAAAAAAAAAGAAAGAAAAAGAGGGGCGCCUGGGUGGCUCAGUCAGUUGAGGGUCCGACUUCGGCUCGGGUCAUGAUCUCGCGGUCCGUGAGUUCGAGCCCCGCGUCGGGCUCCGUGCCGACGGCUCGGGGCCUGGAGCCUGCUUUGGAUGCUGUCUCUCCCUCUCUCUCUCUCUCUCUCUCUCUCUCUCUGCCCCUCCGCCACUCAUGCUCUGUCUCUCAAAAGUAAAUAAAUGUUAAAAAAAUUUUUUUAAAAGAAAAGGGAGGGUGAGGGUGGGUCGCCCUCGCAGAGGGCUCCGACGGGACGGGGGCGGGAGGCUCAGUGGGGGCACUUAUGGCAGCGUCUGGCGGGGGAAGCCGCGGGCCCCCUCACGCCCCCUCUCCCGCCUAGGGUGGAGUGGCCGCCACGCGCCCCCGGCACCCAGCAGCGGCGCCCUGUCCCCCAGCCUGAGGUGCAGUGCUGCAUCUCUGGUCAGUUGGGAGUCUGAGAUGAAGCACUGUAGCUCGGGAAGGGAGAAGUUGUUCUGCAGCUGUCAGCCCGGAAGCCGUAAGUGGCCGCUGUGCUCGGGGCCACCAGGAAGGCUGGGAGUGUGUCCAGUCUCCAUGCUGGCAGCUGCUUGUGCUGAGGAAGUUCCAGGACCCCAGGCCUGCCUGGGCCACUACCUGCUUCAUGAUUCAGGGCGAGUCCUGACCCCUCCGGGCGCCCCCGUUUGUCCAGCUGGAAGUGAGAUGUUGGGGCAUUCGGCGGUGGCCGUUAUCCGGACAACCCCGCCUCUGCUUUCUGUCUCUGAGCCCAUGGCACACACUGUUCAUCAGUCAGGGCAUCGUCUGUUGAGGAGUUCAGAUGCGCCUUUCAAAAUCCUUCCCAACACUAAGUCCUGGAUAGCUACAGGCAAUAACGCAGAGCUGAAACCCAUUCAUCCUGUGUGGACUGGACAGACAAUUCCUAAAAACCCUUGCAGAAAGACCAAAGUCCCGAGCUUUGACUCAGACGCCUCAUCCUUUGAGUGCCUAACCUUGGCUCCAGGCAACGUCCGACCCGUCUCAGAGGCUUCAGGCAAGCAUGGAACAGCAGAGGAGACUCUCUGGGCUAAGCACAAUCUUAUUGAACCUCCCAAGAAGCUUGGAAGGUGGCCAGUGUUACCGACCCCUUUUUACAGAUGAGAAAACUGAGGCUCAGUUAAGCGGUUCCCCCAAGGCCACACAAUGAUCGUGUUAGUCAAGGUCGUAGCCUAAUCUGUCCGCUUUCAGGGUCGUGUUCUUACCCAGUGCAUGUGAUUUUGGAACCUGCAGGUGGGGAUGCAAGAGGAGGACAUGAUAAAUGAACCUGGUCUUCUCCUUACAUCCUGGGUCACUUUCAGCAAAGACAGACCUAGCCGGUCUCCACUAAUCCUAUGGACUGCCUUACUCCACCCCUCCUCCCAAACUGUAUCUGUCUCACGUUAUCCGGGAGGUCCUCUCCUGUCCCAUUUUACAGCUGAGGAAAGCUGAGGUUACGUGGCUUUGCUGGAGACGACCAGGGGAGGAAGUUGCUGGAGACUGAGAACCGGAUCUGCCCAGGGUUUAGACUCAAACCCUCCCUCUGGCUGGAGACUCGGGAAUACAUACAGCCCCCCGUCAGUCAUGGGUGGGAAGGAGGGGGACGGCUGGGAUGCCAGAUGGUUUCUGGUCAACAACACGGCCUUUGACUGCAGGGAAGGUACUUUCCAAGGGCACUCGAAGUUCCAGUCACUCCUUCUGGAGCAAUCAGCCAGUCCUGCAAUGCGUGGCAUCCACACUGGCUUCUGCAGAUGGGGCCGGAAGCCGAGGAAGACUCCCGCUGGUCCUUAGGGACGUGGCGGGGCCUUGGUGCUGAAGGCCCCUCUCUCACCUUGUCCUCACGGUCCAGUUUUCCCAGGAAUCCCUUAGAUGCUAAGAUGGGGAUUCCUGGAAAUACUGUUCUUGAGGUCAUGGUUUAGCAACUGGACUCACCUCCUUCCCACCCAGAGCUGUCCCCGUGGGACCUCAGCUCAAGCACAGGAUGAGGCUCCAGGAGAAGGAGGUGCGCUGGAGGUAAGAGGGCUUGCACGCGGUGUUCUUGACCUUUAAGCUGCUUUUUCUUUCCAUUUUGUCCGAUUCGUAACAUUCCUGUGAGCCUGGAUGUGGGAACUUCACCACCGCUGUACUCUUGGGAAAUCUGUCGCGGCACUCGGAUGAGGGGUGUUUGAACCAGGUCGCCAUAAAGUACAUGCUUCUCCCGGUCCUCACCCCUGCCCCUCACCCCACUUCCCAGGGUGCCCUGUGGCAGGGGCCACGAUAGGGCAUCUACCUAAUGGA